AUUUUUUUAGGUUUUGAUUUUAUUACAUGUUCAUGCGAAAAUCAAAACCUAAAGAAAAUG
rnacentral:pre_miRNA from 1 species